CAAAAGACAAACCCUGGUUUCCGUGUGAAAUAUUUGACUGUCCGUUUUAUAUGAAAUUUUUUUAUAAUUAGUAUUUUCAUUGUUGUUAGAUGAUAAAACAUGAUUAAUACUUUAUGCAUGACUUAUCUUUUUAAUUUUUUUCAUAUAAGACGCAUGGUCAAACGUUGAACACGGAAACCCAAGGAUUGUCUUUUU
rfam:Oryza sativa Japonica Group DNA, chromosome 3, cultivar: Nipponbare, complete sequence.